UGCAUUGUGGAUGUAGGUUAAGCCACCUAAGUGCUGAUAGUCCUCCAGUGCCUUCCCACAAUUCCCCCAUUGUGCACAGGAGGGACAAGUUUUACCACAAUUGAUUGGGAAAGAAUCAUACAGCAGCUCAGCUUUAGUGUAGUGCUAUGACUCAUGGGAUAUGACCCCAGGAGCCCUAGUAACAUGGACAGUGCUGCUGGACUUCAGAGGAGCCUCUCCUGGCUGUCAAGGCAUCUGUUCCUGCUCCUAAAAGGCUAUUCAGCAAAGGUCAGAAGUAAAAUUGACUCCUACCGAGUAGUGCUGAGAGGUACAAUGUGUGAAGAAUUGGUGUCUGUGAAUCUCCUUUAUUGGCUUUUACUUGUCAGCUUCUCACAAGAACGUCUCUGGUGCUGCUUCUGCAUAGAAUGAUCUCUCGUUCAAAUCUCCUUUGAGUUUUUCCUCUGUCUUGAGACCACUUCUACUAAUGAAAACAACUAUCUCUAUAAUCAUUCAUGCCUCAUCCCUUCUGUGGACAUGUACAAUAAGAGUGCCAGUUAUGAUGUGGAUAACUGUCUUCUGGGAACUGGACUGAGACCACCAACUCAUUUCACAUGGGCUGCCAAAUAGCUGCUUUGUUUAUUAUUGGCAUGGGCCAGAUGUGAACCAGGAACCUAGAGAUGAAAGUUUCUAUGAAACUUCCUCCUUACUACACCUCUAUUUUAUUAUCUGUGAAAAUACUGUGAGUACAUAAGACAUGCAAGAACACCCACAAAUUGGAGAUGGUUUUGCAAAACCUGGGUAAAAGAACAAAGUAAAGGAGAAAGUCUCUGCUGUUUUGACUGCUGAAGUCAGACUGUACAUGUUUACAUAGUGUAUAUAGUUCCAUUUUAAAGUAAAGAUAAAGGGCUAAAUUCCCUGCUGGUAUAAAUUGGUGCAACUCCAUUAACUCCAUUAAAGAAGCUGUGCCAGAGAAUUUGGCUCAAUGUGGCCUAUUCAGAGAAAUUAUGAUAAAUUCAAUCUGAUCAGAUUAGACUGUUUAUGAUAAAUUAAUGAUGACUUGAUGAUGAUUAUACUGUAAUGUGCUUUGCAUUUAUAGUAACAUACAUCCAAGGAGUUCAAAACAAUUUAUAAAUAUUGGGAUUGAUUCACUGUAGAGUUUUGCCAGUUUCUGAUCUCUUGGUGGAAAACUCCUAGAGCUGGGAAUUCCACUCAGAAGGUGAUUUGAAGUGGAACUAGAUGCCUGCAACCUUUCUUUUGUCUGCGCCUGGAACCACCAUCUUGGAAGUUGGAGAGGGACAUGGCCAAACCAGAUAGGGAUGAGCUGAUUCAUUGCAUCUCACAGGGAGUCUUCACCAGUACUCACCUAUUUCAGGUGGGUUUAUACUCCACACUGCUAAGCUGUACUGCCGCUGACCAUGCUAACAUGGCCACUCACAUUAUAGCUGGGAAUCACACCCCCAGCUCAUAAUGUAGACAUAGCCUUGGUGAUGAAUUAAAAUUGCAUUGUUCCAUGAAAAGAAAAAUAAAUUGAAAAAAUGUGGAAGUUUAAUUUUAGAUUACUUGUUUCAUAACACACUCUGUGUAACUUACAUACUUUGAGCUUGCACAUAACUGAAUACAAAUGAGUUUUCUGGAUAUAAACCACCAAAAACGUACGGAGUUUACAAAAAAGCACCUGUUCUUGUAAUAAAUUUUAUACUGUGUGCUUCUGUCACUAUAGCUCUAAUGUCUUGUAGGAGGCAUUUUUUAAAUG